rnacentral:rRNA from 1 species
AGAGUUUGAUCCUGGCUCAGAUUGAACGCUGGCGGCAUGCCUUACACAUGCAAGUCGAACGGUAACGCGGGGCAACCUGGCGACGAGUGGCGAACGGGUGAGUAAUAUAUCGGAACGUGCCCAGUAGUGGGGGAUAGCC